rnacentral:rRNA from 1 species
GACGAACGCUGGCGGCGUGCUUAACACGUGCAAGUCGAGCGGUAAGGCCCUUUCGGGGGUACACGAGCGGCGAACGGGUGAGUAACACGUGGGUGACCUGCCCUCAGCUCUGGGAUAAGCCUGGGAAACCGGGUCUAAUACUGGAUAUGACUCCAUGACGCAUGUUGUGGGGUGAAAGCCUUGUGCGGCUGAGGAUGGGGCCCNCGGCCUAUCAGCUUGUUGGUGGGGUGAUGGCCUGCCAAGGCGACGACGGGUAGCCGGCCUGAGAGGGCGACCGGCCACA